rnacentral:rRNA from 1 species
AGCGAACGCUGGCGGCAGGCUUAACACAUGCAAGUCGAGCGGGCGUAGCAAUACGUCAGCGGCAGACGGGUGAGUAACACGUGGGAACGUACCUUUUGGUUCGGAACAACACAGGGAAACUUGUGCUAAUACCGAAUAAGCCCUUACGGGGAAAGGAUUAUCGCCGAAAGAUCGGCCCGCGUCUGAUUAGCUUGUUGGUGAGGUAACGGCUCACCAAGGCGACGAUCAGUAGCUGGUCNG